GGAUACACACAUCUACAUCAAACUGUUCCUAUAUUUAUCUGAAUCUGAAUAUGGAAAAGUCUAUAAGUUCAUACUGAGGCUUAAAAUCCCCAUCUACAACUUCAAAGUUCUUUCUAGCCUUUCCUUUUCCAAGCUUGUAAAAUACCUUCUCAGAGAGUAAGAAACCUGGCUUCCAUUAUCCUCAAUGUAUUUCCUUAUUUGCUCUAUCAAUUAACUUCUUUGGUCAGUUUUCAAGUACUACGCCUAUCUUUUCCCUCUGCCCCUUCCAUGCUGCCCCUGCUGAUCACCUUGCUUCUUCACAUUCUAGCAUCUAUGCCCCAGAGUGGGAAGUGAAGGGAAUAUGAGAAUGAAAGGGAAAAUGGGGAAAAGAAAUAAAGAUGAAAGGGACAAGGAAAUGUCUUUAUUCCGUAAGUUUAUUUCUAAACACUUGUGUUCCUUGUAGCCUACAGUGUGCUAAAUGAUACAGCUGAUCACACAUGAUUGCAUUUAUUUGUUUACAGAUAUGUCUGCCCACCUAAUGAUGAGCUGGGGAACAUAAUCAUCUCUGUAUCUCUCUAUCUCCAGUGCUUGUCACAUGGAGAAAAAUCAAAUUUAAUAGAUGUACCUAUGAGGAAUCUACACAGUUGUGAAAUUCCAAAGACAAUGGAGCAACAUGAAGAUUAUAUGAGCUAAGGAGAGGGGUUCCCUUGUGAGAAGAAUACACUGACUUUGGAGUUGCCCAAGUGGCUUGCUAUCACAUACAAAGAGGAGAGAAGCCAUGGUAUGUGAGGUCCAAGAAAAUGCCUUCAGCCAUCUUGCACUUCUGCUCUCCACAAUGAGUAGAUUGUGCCUGUGGUAGGCAUUGUUUUUCAUCCUGAAUCCUGGAUACAGAGACUCAUGGAGUAGAUUGGAACCCAGACUGUAAACUGGCGUGAAGAGCAACUCAAUUGGCCAGAUAGAGCACCAAAUACAUGAUCUAUGAAAGGAAUAAUACGUUGGACUUCAUUAUAAUUAAGAACUUCUGCUCUGUAAAAGAUGCUGCAAGAGAUGAGAUAAGACAUAGACUGGGAGAAGAUAUUUGCAGAAGUCAUAUCUGAUAAAGGAUUGUUAUCUAAAAUAGACAAAGAACUCUUAAAACUCAAUAAUAAGAAAACAUACAAGCUGAUUUAAAAAUGGGCAAAGGAUCUGAGGAGACUCGUCAACAAAGAACAUAUAUAGCUGAUAAAUAAGCAUAUGAAAUCCUGCUCAACAUCAUAUACCUCAGGGAACUGCAAAUUAAAACAAUGAGAUAUCACUACAUACCUAUUAGAAUGGCAAAAAUCCAAAACACUGACAACACCAAAUGCUAGUGAACCUGUGGAGCAGUAAGAACUCUCAUUCAUUGCUGAUGGAAAUGCCAAAUGGAACAGCCACUUCGGAAGACAGUUUGGCAGUUUCUUACAAAACUAAACACAUUAUUACCAUAUAAUUCAACAAUCACUCCCCAUGGUAUUUAGUUAAAUGAGUUGAAAACGUAUGUCCACACAAAAACCUGUACACAGUUGUUUAUAGCAACUCUAUCAUAAUUGCCAAAACUUAGAAUCAACCAAGAUGUCCUUCAGUGGAUAACUGAAAUGGAUAAAUAAACUGUGUUACAUCUAUUUAAUGGAAUAUUAUUCAGUGCUAAAAAGAAAUAAGUUAUCAAGUCACAAAGAGAUAGGAAAUUUAAAUGCAUGUUGCUUAGUGAAAAAAGGCAAUAUGAAAAGGCAACAUAUUGUAUAAUUCCAACUGUAAGAUUUCUUGAAAAGGCAAAACUAUGGAGACAGUCUUUUUACUGUAAGUGCUUGCUAGAGGUUUUUAGGGGGUGAGAGAUGAAUGGAUGAGCAUAGAGGAUUUUUAGAGCAGUGAAACUAUUCUGUAUAAUACAAUAAAGAUAGAUAUGUGUCACUAUGCAUUUGUCCAAAUGUAUAGGAUGUACAAUAAGAAUGAACCCUAAUGAAAACUAUUGGCUGUGAGUGAUAAUGAUGUGUCAGUGGAGGUUCAUCAGUUGUAAGAAAUGUACCACUCUGGUAUAGGAUGUUGAUAGUGGGGCAGGUUGUUUGUCUCAGAUGGAGAGACAGGUGAUGUAAAGUAACUCUCAGUUCUUUCCACUCAA